GACGAACUUUGGCGGCGUGCUUAACACAUGCAAGUCGAACGGAAAGGCCCUGCUUUUGUGGGGUGCUCGAGUGGCGAACGGGUGAGUAACACGUGAGUAACCUGCCCUUGACUUUGGGAUAACUUCAGGAAACUGGGGCUAAUACCGGAUAGGAGCUCCUGCUGCAUGGUGGGGGUUGGAAAGUUUCGGCGGUUGGGGUUGGACUCGCGGCUUAUCAGCUUGUUGGUGGGGUAGUGGCUUACCAAGGCUUUGACGGGUAGCCGGCCUGAGAGGGUGACCGGCCACAUUGGGACUGAGAUACGGCCCAGACUCCUACGGGAGGCAGCAGUGGGGAAUAUUGCACAAUGGGCGGAAGCCUGAUGCAGCAACGCCGCGUGCGGGAUGACGGCCUUCGGGUUGUAAACCGCUUUCGCCUGUGACGAAGCGUGAGUGACGGUAAUGGGUAAAGAAGCACCGGCUAACUACGUGCCAGCAGCCGCGGUGAUACGUAGGGUGCGAGCGUUGUCCGGAUUUAUUGGGCGUAAAGGGCUCGUAGGUGGUUGAUCGCGUCGGAAGUGUAAUCUUGGGGCUUAACCCUGAGCGUGCUUUCGAUACGGGUUGACUUGAGGAAGGUAGGGGAGAAUGGAAUUCCUGGUGGAGCGGUGGAAUGCGCAGAUAUCAGGAGGAACACCAGUGGCGAAGGCGGUUCUCUGGGCCUUUCCUGACGCUGAGGAGCGAAAGCGUGGGGAGCGAACAGGCUUAGAUACCCUGGUAGUCCACGCUGUAAACGGUGGGUACUAGGUGUGGGGUCCAUUCCACGGGUUCCGUGCCGUAGCUAACGCUUUAAGUACCCCGCCUGGGGAGUACGGCCGCAAGGCUAAAACUCAAAGGAAUUGACGGGGCCCCGCACAAGCGGCGGAGCAUGCGGAUUAAUUCGAUGCAACGCGUAGAACCUUACCUGGGUUUGACAUGGAUCGGGAGUGCUCAGAGAUGGGUGUGCCUCUUUUGGGGUCGGUUCACAGGUGGUGCAUGGCUGUCGUCAGCUCGUGUCGUGAGAUGUUGGGUUAAGUCCCGCAACGAGCGCAACCCUUGUUCACUGUUGCCAGCACGUUAUGGUGGGGACUCAGUGGAGACCGCCGGGGUCAACUCGGAGGAAGGUGGGGAUGACGUCAAGUCAUCAUGCCCCUUAUGUCCAGGGCUUCACGCAUGCUACAAUGGCUGGUACAGAGAGUGGCGAGCCUGUGAGGGUGAGCGAAUCUCGGAAAGCCGGUCUCAGUUCGGAUUGGGGUCUGCAACUCGACCUCAUGAAGUCGGAGUCGCUAGUAAUCGCAGAUCAGCAACGCUGCGGUGAAUACGUUCCCGGGGCU
rnacentral:rRNA from 1 species